rnacentral:rRNA from 1 species
CUACGGGCUGCUGCAGUGGGGAAUAUUGCACAAUGGGCGCAAGCCUGAUGCAGCCAUGCCGCGUGUAUGAAGAAGGCCUUCGGGUUGUAAAGUACUUUCAGCGGGGAGGAAGGGAGUAAAGUUAAUACCUUUGCUCAUUGACGUUACCCGCAGAAGAAGCACCGGCUAACUCCGAGCCAGCAGCCGCGGUAAUACGGAGGGUGCAAGCGUUAAUCGGAAUUACUGGGCGUAAAGCGCACGCAGGCGGUUUGUUAAGUCAGAUGUGAAAUCCCCGGGCUCAACCUGGGAACUGCAUCUGAUACUGGCAAGCUGGAGUCUCGUAGAGGGGGGUAGAAUUCCAGGUGUAGCGGUGAAAUGCGUAGAGAUCUGGAGGAAUACCGGUGGCGAAGGCGGCCCCCUGGACGAAGACUGACGCUCAGGUGCGAAAGCGUGGGGAGCAAACAGGAUUAGAUACCCCCGUAGUC